rfam:Beta vulgaris subsp. vulgaris chromosome 6, whole genome shotgun sequence.
GUCUCUUCGGGGACAUCUGAUAAAAUUGGAACGAUACAGAGAAGAUUAGCAUGGCCCCUGCUCAAGGAUGACACACACAAAUCGAGAAAUGGUCCAAAUUUUU